rnacentral:rRNA from 1 species
AACGAACGCUGGCGGCAGGCUUAACACAUGCAAGUCGAGCGCCCCGCAAGGGGAGCGGCAGACGGGUGAGUAACGCGUGGGAACGUACCCUUUGCUACGGAAUAGCUCCGGGAAACUGGAAUUAAUACCGUAUGUGCCCUACGGGGGAAAGAUUUAUCGGCAAAGGAUCGGCCCGCGUUGGAUUAGCUAGUUGGUGGGGUAAUGGCCUACCAAGGCGACGAUCCAUAGCUGGUCUGAGAGGAUGAUCAGCCACAUUGGGACUGAGACACGGCCCAAACUCCUACGGGAGGCAGCAGUGGGGAAUAUUGGACAAUGGGCGCAAGCCUGAUCCAGCCAUGCCGCGUGAGUGAUGGAGGCCUUAGGGUUGUAAAGCUCUUUCACCGGAGAAGAUAAUGACGGUAUCCGGAGAAGAAGCCCCGGCUAACUUCGUGCCAGCAGCCGCCAGUAACAC